rnacentral:rRNA from 1 species
AACGUACGCUGGCGGCACGCCUAACACAUGCAAGUCGAACGAAGUAGCAAUACUUAGUGGCAGACGGGUGAGUAACAUGUAGGUAUCUGCCCUUUGGCCUGGAAUAACACGAGGAAACUUGUGCUAAUACCGGAUAAGUCUUUACGGAGAAAGCUUUAUGCACCAUUGGAUGAGCCUGCACUUGAUUAGUUUGUUGGUGGGGUAAUGGCCUACCAAGACUGUGAUCAAUAGCUGAUUUGAGAGGAUGAUCAGCCACAUUGGGACUGAGACACGGCCCAAACUCCUACGGGAGGCAGCAGUGGGGAAUCUUGCACAAUGGAGGAAACUCUGAUGCAGCGAUGCCGCGUGAGUGAAGAAGGCCCUUGGGUUGUAAAGCUCUUUCGUCGGGGAAGAAAAUGACUGUACCCGAAUAAGAAGGUCCGGCUAACUUCGUGCCAGCAGCCGCGGUAAUACGAAGGGACCUAGCGUAGUUCGGAAUUACUGGGCUUAAAGAGUUCGUAGGUGGUUGAAAAAGUUAGUGGUGAAAUCCCAGAGCUUAACUCUGGAACUGCCAUUAAAACUUUUCAGCUAGAGUAUGAUAGAGGAAAGCAGAAUUUCUAGUGUAGAGGUGAAAUUCGUAGAUAUUAGAAAGAAUACCAAUUGCGAAGGCAGCUUUCUGGAUCAUUACUGACACUGAGGAACGAAAGCAUGGGUAGCGAAGAGGAUUAGAUACCCUCGUAGUCCAUGCCGUAAACGAUGUGUGUUAGACGUUGGAAAUUUAUUUUCAGUGUCGCAGGGAAACCGAUAAACACACCGCCUGGGGAGUACGACCGCAAGGUUAAAACUCAAAUGAAUUGACGGGGACCCGCACAAGUAGUGGAGCAUGUGGUUUAAUUCGAAGAUACGCGCAGAACCUUACCAACACUUGACAUGUUCGUCGCGACUCUAAGAGAUUAGAGUUUUCGGUUCGGCCGGACGAAACACAGGUGCUGCAUGGCUGUCGUCAGCUCGUGUCGUGAGAUGUUGGGUUAAGUCCCGCAACGAGCGCAACCCUCACUUUUAGUUGCCAUCAUUAAGUUGGGCACUCUGAAAGAACUGCCAGUGAUAAGCUGGAGGAAGGUGGGGAUGACGUCAAGUCCUCAUGGCCCUUACGUGUUGGGCUACACACGUGCUACAAUGGUAUCUACAACAGGAAGCAAGACUGCGAAGUUAAGCAAAUCCCUAAAAGAUACCUCAGUUCGGAUUGCGCUCUGCAGCUCGAGUGCAUGAAGCUGGAAUUACUAGUAAUCGUGAAUCAGCGUGCCACGGUGAAUGCGUUUCCCGGGUCU